UACGUAGGGGGGCAAGCGUUGUCCGGAAUCAUUGGGCGUAAAGCGCGUGUAGGCGGCCCGGUAAGUCCGCUGUGAAAGUCCAGGGCUCAACCCUGGGAUGCCGGUGGAUACUGUCGGGCUCGAGUCCGGAAGAGGCGAGUGGAAUUCCUGGUGUAGCGGUGAAAUGCGCAGAUAUCAGGAGGAACACCAAUGGCGAAGGCAGCUCGCUGGGACGUGACUGACGCUGAGACGCGAAAGCGUGGGGAGCAAACAGG
rnacentral:rRNA from 1 species